rnacentral:rRNA from 1 species
CCUACGGGAGGCAGCAGUGGGGAAUAUUGGGCAAUGGGCGCAAGUCUGACCCAGCAACGCCGCGUGAAGGAAGAAGGCUUUCGGGUUGUAAACUUCUUUUAUGAGGGACGAAACAAAUGACGGUACCUCAUGAAUAAGCCACGGCUAACUACGUGCCAGCAGCCGCGGUAAUACGUAGGUGGCAAGCGUUAUUCGGAUUUACUGGGUGUAAAGGGCGUGUAGGCGGGGUUGCAAGUCAGAGGUGAAAAUGAUGGGCUCAACCCAUAACCUGCAUUUGAAACUGUAGUUCUUGAGUGAUGGAGAGGCAGGCGGAAUUCCUAGUGUAGCGGUGAAAUGCGUAGAUAUUAGGAGGAACACCAGUGGCGAAGGCGGCUUUCUGGACUGUAACUGACGUUGAGGCACGAAAGCGUGGGGAGCAAACAGGAUUAGAUACCCCGGUAGUC